rnacentral:lncRNA from 1 species
GUGAGGUCGCGGCUGGGAGGGGAAAAGCUGGGACGAGGACACAGCGUUUGUCCCCUUCAAGGAAGUGAUGUUCUCUGAGAAGCACAGACCUGGCCCUCGCUAGACACUGAACCUGCCGGUGCCCUGAUCUUGGACUUCCUCGCCUCCAAAACUAAACAGUUUCACGCUUGUCGCCCAGGCUGGAGUGCAAUGGUGUGAUCUUGGCUCACUGCAACCUCUGUCUCCCGGGUUCAAGUGCUUCUCG